GUGUCUUUGGCUUUCUCUAGUCUCUUCUUCUUUUAAUUUAUUUAUAAAAUGUUAACUUUACCAACAAGGGCGUAGAUCAACUAGCAUGGGGUUGUUUUAGCUUAACCAAGGUUCUCGGUUCGAGACUUGGGAAUGCAGCUGCGUUAAAUACUUGUUGGAAAAGCUUUGCCGUCCUAGUGGUCCUACCCGAAUCGAAUCUGGAUUAGUCGUGACCCAAUGUGAUCUUUGGAUACCAAAUGGUUUAAUACACCGAAAAAAAAUGUUAACUUUUUUAAAAUUAAUUAAAAUUAUGAUUUUUGUGGUACAGAUACCUUUUUCAGGAUCUAAGGGUCAUGUCUUAUUACCUGGAAAUGAAAUUCCAGAGUGGUUUAGCUUUAAAAGCGAGGGAUCUUCUAUGACGUUGGAGAUGACACCAGAUUUCUUCAAUAAAAACCGAGUACUCGGCUUUGCUUUUAGCGCUAUUGUAGGAUUUGGAGACCAUCAAGAUGUCAGAGAAGAGAGGUUUAGAUUAUUCUGUGAAAUCAAAGUCAAACCCAAAGAUUGUGAUUCACAUGUCAUACAGAGACCUCUGGCAGUAAUUAGAUAUGUAGAGUCAGAUCACUUACUUUUGGGGGACGAUUUCUUCGAUGAUAAGGAAUUUUUUACUUUUUGGGAGAACAAUUGGGUUCCUGAGGCUAUCCAGUUCUAUUUUAAAGAAGAAUUUGGUUAUGAAAUUUUGGAGUAUUGCCUUGUGAAAAAAUGUGGGAUCCAUUUACUGUACGCCCCAGAUUCUUCGGAUUCAACAGAAGAAGAGGAACCAUGCCCCUAAAGACUGGUAUAUGGCAUGUGCUAGAAGACGUCCAUCGCAGCAGCUCGUACAUUUCUGUAAAUUAUUCUUCCUCUAUAUGUAAUUAUUGUUUUCCUAUAGCUUGGUUUCUUUGUUUUUCUAUAGCUUGGUUUAUUAUAUAUUUAUGUGAUGAGUUUGUAUGUCUCUCUACACUCUAGUAAUGGUUUGUUUAUGUCAUAUGUACAGCUACCAUUUGACCAAGACAAACUUUCUUGUUUGUGAGGAUAUUGAUCAUAAUUUUUGUAGCUGAAGUUAAAGUAAGAGUUAGAGAAGUUUCUUUUGAUUCUUGAUCAAAAGAAAAACGUACGAGUUUGACAGAACCAUCGUCAUCUUUCAUUGUACGUUUUCUAUGUAUUAAUUGAAUUGUUCUGACAUGAUUAUCGUUGUUUGGACACUGUUACACAUCGAUUGAAUGACUUGAACGAUUUUAUAAUGUUUAUAGAUUGUUACAAUUAGAUAACAUUCGCUACAUAAGCAAAGAAAUAAUAGGAAUUUAAAAAAAAAUACAAUAUGAAAAAUCAACUGCCAAUCUUCAUAACCUAAUUUAGGUGCUACAAUACUUGUUAUAAAUGUUUCGAUAGCAUCUUAUAUAAAAUGUUAUAAGGCACUAAAGCACUUGCAUCAUUAAAUCUAAUCAUAAUUCAACAAUUAAUAAUUCAACACUUAGCAUAUAUAACAUACAGCAACACUAUAAACCCAUAAAUAAAAGUACCACAACAUAAAUCCAACAUCCAAAAUAACAUAAAUUCAAGUUUAACACCACCACAAGUCCACAUAGGUUGUUUCAUUUUUUUCAUUUAACUUAUAUAUUUUUUAAUUUAAUAAAUAAUUGAAUAAAAAAAUAAUACGGAUCCAGAUAUUUGAUUUUCUAGAUGCACUUGUAUCUAGAUCCCAAUCCGGAUUUGUACGAAUCUUAAUUUUUAACAUCCAAUUUAUUUUUUAAUGUGCGGAUUCCAAAUUUCCUUUAUCUCAAUAUUUACGAAUUUGGUCAGAUCCAUAUAUUUUUACUAUCCCCAUACAUAGCCAUAAUUCAAGUUACGUCUAUAUGGGCCAAUGGGCUCUUUGGCACAAUUUAUGCACUCAUAAGUUUUUAUGAGUUCGAGUCUCCGUAAUGAUUAUUGGAAUUUUAUCUUCUUUCCUAUUAAAUUAAGGGAAAAAUAUUUUUUGUUAAUACAGCAGAGUAGCUAAUUUUCUAAUAUUAUAUGAGAAUAGAAAUUUAGGUCAGGCUAUACUAAAUUUAUCAAGGAUAAUUUGAUAGACUUUUGACUGAAAGUAUCAAUAAUUGCGACUCAAUUUUCCUUCCAAUAAAAUUAAGUGGGGCACAUUUCUUUCUUGCUAAUACAGUAGAAUAGAUAUUUCUCUAGCAUUAUAUAAGAGUAAAAAUUUAAGCUCUCUUAUACUAAAGUUAUCAAUGGUAGUUUUAAUAGAUUUUUUUAAUUGUAAAUAUUAAUAAAAUUCUAUUAUUGUAUUAUUGUAUAAAAAAUAAAAACAACAAAGUCACUUUUGCAUCAACUUCGAAGAGAAGUUAAGACUUUUGAGUUUUGACCCGAACAGAACCAAAGAGACCAUUUUUUUUAAUUAAAAUCUGAAAAUAUUAUUGAAGACUACCUAUGAGAUGGUGUAUUCUAUAAAUAAUUAAAUAUAGUUUAAUUGUAAUUUUUAAUUUUUUAAUGGGUUAAUUUCAGCCUACCCACUUCGUGAAGUGACAAUCUUUAAAUCGCCCCCCUUACUAUUGAAAACAUUAAGUUACCCCCUAAAAUUCGUUAUCUUUAACCAUUGACCGCCGUUGACUCAUAAAAGUACGACAACACCCGUACCUUAACAGAAUAUUCUUGUAACGGUAUUGUGAGAAUAAAAAAAAAUGUUUAUGUGUGACUAGUCAUUGGAAAAUGAAAAAAAUUAGUUUAUGUAUGACUAGUCAUUGAAAAAUAAAUUAAAAAAUAAAGUGUUAGAAAUGACUUAAUGGGUCUAAAUAAAUUGAUAAUUUUCCUAAAUUAGACAUGUUAGUUAAAUAAGUUACAAGACAUGCCAUCAUAUAUAAAUUACGAUAAUGCCAUUUUCGUCUUUUUCUUUCAUUUCUCUUCAUCUUUUCUUUCAUUUUUUUUCUCAUCCUUACUCCUUUGUCUUUUCCUUUCAUUUGUUUUUUCCUCAUCCUUACUCCUUCUUCAUCUUUUUCUUCAUUUUUUUUCUUUUCUUCCAUGUACAUGACUCCAGUAACUUUUUUUCUUUCCUUUCAUUUUUUUCAUCCUUACUCCUUCUUCUUUUCGUUUCAUUUUUUUUUUCUCAUCCUUACUUUUUCUUCGUCUUUUUAUUCAUUUUUUUUCUUUCAUGUAUAUGACUCCAUUAGCAUUUCUUUUUUCUUUCCUUUCAUUUUUCUCAUCCUUACUCCUUUCAUUUGUUUGGUGAAACUCCAGUAGCAUAUUUCUUUUGUUAUUUGAUUUUCCUUUUUUUAUAUCUAUAUUUUCUGUAAGUACCUUUACAAAAUGAAAAAAGAAUAAUAAUGAUAAUAAUAAAGAGACAGACUUCUAAACUACACAAAUAUUACAAUAAUAAUGAUAUUUGGGAUUACUUAAUUUUAGAUUAUAAAUAUUCUUUAAUCUUGAACUAACCAUAUUAAUAAUAAAAGAAUGAAUUUAUUUUAUUAUUGUUUAUUAUGGUCAGUUUGAUGAAUAAACAAAAGAUUUGAAGAGUUCUAGGUUGUGUGCAAUGACAGUGAUUUUGGUGAGAAGGGUUUUGAAGUUCGCCCCCCUUACUAUUGAAAACAUUAAGUUACCCCCUAAAAUUCGUUAUCUUUAACCAUUGACCGCCGUUGACUCAUAAAAGUACGACAACACCCGUACCUUAACAGAAUAUUCUUGUAACGGUAUUGUGAGAAUAAAAAAAAAUGUUUAUGUGUGACUAGUCAUUGGAAAAUGAAAAAAAUUAGUUUAUGUAUGACUAGUCAUUGAAAAAUAAAUUAAAAAAUAAAGUGUUAGAAAUGACUUAAUGGGUCUAAAUAAAUUGAUAAUUUUCCUAAAUUAGACAUGUUAGUUAAAUAAGUUACAAGACAUGCCAUCAUAUAUAAAUUACGAUAAUGCCAUUUUCGUCUUUUUCUUUCAUUUCUCUUCAUCUUUUCUUUCAUUUUUUUUCUCAUCCUUACUCCUUUGUCUUUUCCUUUCAUUUGUUUUUUCCUCAUCCUUACUCCUUCUUCAUCUUUUUCUUCAUUUUUUUUCUUUUCUUCCAUGUACAUGACUCCAGUAACUUUUUUUCUUUCCUUUCAUUUUUUUCAUCCUUACUCCUUCUUCUUUUCGUUUCAUUUUUUUUUUCUCAUCCUUACUUUUUCUUCGUCUUUUUAUUCAUUUUUUUUCUUUCAUGUAUAUGACUCCAUUAGCAUUUCUUUUUUCUUUCCUUUCAUUUUUCUCAUCCUUACUCCUUUCAUUUGUUUGGUGAAACUCCAGUAGCAUAUUUCUUUUGUUAUUUGAUUUUCCUUUUUUUAUAUCUAUAUUUUCUGUAAGUACCUUUACAAAAUGAAAAAAGAAUAAUAAUGAUAAUAAUAAAGAGACAGACUUCUAAACUACACAAAUAUUACAAUAAUAAUGAUAUUUGGGAUUACUUAAUUUUAGAUUAUAAAUAUUCUUUAAUCUUGAACUAACCAUAUUAAUAAUAAAAGAAUGAAUUUAUUUUAUUAUUGUUUAUUAUGGUCAGUUUGAUGAAUAAACAAAAGAUUUGAAGAGUUCUAGGUUGUGUGCAAUGACAGUGAUUUUGGUGAGAAGGGUUUUGAAGUUUUAGAUUAAGUUUGUGGUUGCAUUUUUCUUUUGUUCUUUGAUUUUUUUUUAUCCAUAUAUUUUUUUAAAUACCAUUGCAAAAGGAAAAAGAAUAAUAAUGAUUAUAAUAAUAAAUAUAAAAAUGUAAAAUGUUAUUCUUUUUCAUUUAUAACUUUAAUUAAUUUCUUUAUUUAUUUUUAAAAUAAAAAUUUUAAAUACAAAAAAUUAAAAUUUAAUCAGUUCGAACAAAUUUGACAUAUAGGUACGAAAUGAAAAUAUUUUAAAAUAUUCGGGACGCAUAUCAUAAAUAUUUAAAAUAUUUAUGUGUGUUUUGAAAAACUUAGAAAGAUUUGAGCCCAUAAAAAUUAACCCAUAUAAAGAUUUGACUUUUUUCCAUUUUUUUACUGUUAGAGGAAUGCACAAAUACCGUUUUACCCUUUUAGCCGUUAAAAAUAACAUACAAAUAAUGAUUUUUGAGGGGUAGGUUAAUGUUUUCAAUAGUAAGGGGGGCGAUUUGAAGAUUGUCAUUUUGCGAGGGGGUAUGGUGAAGUUUAUCCUUUUUUUAAUUAAAGAUAGCAAAUUUCAGAAAGUGAGCACUUUAUAAAUCUAAUUUAAAAUCAAAAUAAACCAAUAUCAAGCCUUAAUCAUAAAACUAUACAAUUCAGUUAAAAUGGUAAGGUGGUAUAAUUAAAGAGUAAAAUCCAAAAAAAGAAAAAAGAAAGAAUUUGUCUGAUCAUUAUUUGAACUAAAAUGAUCUACGCAAUUACUUUCGAAAAAAAAAAUGAUCUGCAUAAUUAUUUAACAAAGAUUAGAAGUGGGGUGGUCUUUUACUUUUGCCCCUUAGGAGGGGACAGUCAUUUAUCUUUCUUUCCAGCCGUCCUCCAUUAUUUGUUUUGUGGCUGGAAUUAGACUCGGGCAAGUUAACAAAACUGACCAAUCAAAUUAUUGCAUUGCUCACGGAAAAUGAAAAUAAGAGGAUAGGAUCCUCCGCUGAAAGCAUCUAAGUAGUAAGAUUUAAUUUUUCUAAGUUAUAAUGUACAAAUAAGAUUUAAUUAAUUAUUAAUUAAUUAUUAAUUAAUACUUGAGUUAUUAUACAUCAUAUUAGAAAAAAAUUUUAUUUAAAAAAUAAGAUAAAAUUAUUACAAAUUUAUUUAUUAGAAGCUUCUAGAGUGAUGAACAUUUACUUUCAAAUAUGACGGAACAAUAGUUCGAGUCCUUAUAUUAUAAUAUAAAAACUUAAUUUCUCUUUUAAUUGAAAAAUAAUUAAAUAAAAAUAUUUUUUUUAAAUAUAAGCAAAAUAGAUAUCAUUUGAAUAUUAAAAAAUAAUAUUUUUUUAAUAAAAUAUAAGUACGAAUAAACAUCCUUGAACGCUAGUGAGGCUUAGUUAUCUAUUAUGACAUCACGGUUUAAAAAAAAUUAAAAAGAACUAGCUUCAUCUAUAAUUCGAUAUACUGUUCAGUCUCGCGUUCAAUUAUUUUCAUUUUCAUCCGAUCAAAAUCUUUCAUCAAUUAGACUGUACUGAGUCUGUGCAUGAUGGCUUCUUCUUCCUCCUCUUCUAAUCCUCGAAACAACAAGCAUGAUGUUUUUCUUAGUUUCAGUGGAGAAGACACCCGCGACAACUUUACUAGCCAUCUUUAUUCAGCCUUGUGUCAGAAAGGUGUUGAAACUUUCAUUGAUGACCAACUCAACCGGGGAGAUGAAAUUUCACAGUCUCUUCUUGAUACAAUUGAAGCAUCAAGCAUUUCAAUUAUCAUUUUCUCAGAAAAGUAUGCUUCUUCGGGAUGGUGUCUCGAUGAACUUUCAAAGGUCCUCGAUUGCAGGAAAGUAUAUGCACAGAUUGUGAUACCAGUUUUCUAUCGGGUCGAUCCAUCACAUGUGAGAAAGCAAAUUGGGAGUUUUGGGGUUUCAUUUUCGAAGCUUAAAGAAAAAUUUCCAGAGAAGAUGCAAAGAUGGAGGAGUGCUUUGACGGAAGCAGCCAAUCUCUCUGGCUUUGAUUCUUUUGUCAUCAGGUAACAGUAACAGUCAAUUUGCUACCAAUUUUAUAAUUAUUUUAUUAGGGUACUCAUCAAUAUAAAAAAUUAUAGUAUCAAAUAUUAAAUCAUUUCGUGAAGACGAUUAGAUUGCAUAAUAUCUUACACAAUUUUUAUAAUUGUUUUAUUUACUCAAGUUCUAAUACGGUUAUAUGACUUGUUUCAAAGCAAAAAAAUCUGCAUCAAAUUAACAAUUGGAACUAAUAAAAAAACUCUGUUUUUGUCUCUUUUUGAACUUAAUGCUAUAUUUUUUUAUUUGCUAGGAAUGAAUCUGAACUUAUAAAGAAAGUUGUUAAUGACAUUUUGGAGAAACUGCCCAAAGUGGUCCCAUGUGAUAGCAAAAACGAGCUGGUCGGAGUAGAAUCAAGAGUUGAGGAAAUUGAGUCUCUGUUGGGUGCUGCACCUCUAUUAGGGAUUUGGGGCAUUGGUGGUAUAGGCAAGACAACAAUUGCUAGGGUGAUUUUCAACAGAAUCUCUAGAAAUUUUGAAGGUUCUUGCUUCCUUGAAAAUGUUAGAGAAGAAUCACAAAAGCCGGGAGGAUUAGCUUCCUUGCAACAAAAACUUCUUUCAGAAGUAUUGAAGGAUGUAAAUGUGAUUCCACAUACUGACCUCAACUUUAGAAGGCUUAGCUGCAGGAAGGUUCUGAUUGUUUUAGAUGAUGUGACUUGUUUAAACCAAAUCGAAUCCUUAGUUGGAAGUCUUGAUCGGUUACUGCCUGAGAGUCGAAUCUUAAUUACCACAAGAAAUAAACAAGUGCUUAGAAAUUGUCAUGUCAACCAAAUAUAUGAGAUUAAGGGUUUAGGAGAUGAUCAUGCACUUGAGCUUUGUAUUAGACAUGCCUUCAGACAAAACCUUGUGGAUGUAGAUUAUAAGGAACUGUCAGACAAGGUUAUAAACUACGCUCAAGGUGUUCCUUUAGCUCUUAAAAUUUUGGGUUGCUAUCUAUUUGAAAGGAAAAAGGAAGUUUGGGAAAAUGCAAUAAAAAAAUUGAAAAAUUUUCUCCAUCAAAAUAUCCUAGAUGUCUAAAAAUAAGUUACGAUGACUUGGAGAAUGACGAGAAAAACAUUUUCCUAGAUGUUGCUUGUUUCUUUAAAGGUGAGGAUAUAUAUCUAGUAAAGAAAUUCUUUGAGGCAAGUGGCUUCUACCCAUAAAUAGGAAUAAGUAUUCUUGUUGAUAAGGCUCUCAUUGCUAUCAAUUCAUACAAAAAGAUAACAAUGCAUGAUUUGCUGCAAGAAUUAGGUAGGGAAAUUGUCCGGCAAGAAUCAACAAAUCCUGGAAACCGUACUCGAUUGUGGCAUCAUGAGGAUAUCUAUGAGGUUCUUGCAUAUAAUAGGGUAAGCAAUUUUUAUUUUUUGGGGGAUUGUUAUUUUUUAAUAUUCUUGCAUUAGUUACAAACUUGAAAGGCAUAUAAUUAAUAUACAUAAGGAAAUAGCUCUUUUCACUCCUCCAGGAUUUGAUGUAAUAACUCAUUUGAUUCCUUUUUUUUUUAAUACAAUAUUGCAAAACACCCUUCGAUUAAUUUACUAUUAGUUUCUUGCCUUUUGAAUAUAAUUCAUUGAGGGCAAAAUAAGAUUGUCAAUUAAAUUGAUGCUUCCAAAAUUUAUUUUGACUUUCUCUUUUUCUCCUUAAAGUUUAUUUAUUUAUUUUGACCCUUGCCACCACUCUUCUUUUACCAUUAUUUUUCCUCCACGUCGGCUCACAGGAUAAUUAAAGAGUGUACUUGUACAAAUAUGAAUAUUGUGUCUAUUUUUGGUACUUAAAUCUAGGGUUAACAACACUUGAGAAAGUACUACCUCAUGGUGCUAAAACAAAGAGUGAGGGCACCAAAAUAGAAUUAAAAGGUAUGUAUACAUAUUAUACAUAUUGACAUGUAAAUUAUGUAUACGAACGAUAAUGUAACAAUUUGACAUGGUAUCUAUAACAUAUUGCUAUAUCACCAUCUAAUCACAAUCGUUAGUUUAUUUUUUUUAAUACAAUGAGAAAAAUACUCUUUUCACCCUUAGAGUUUAAUGUAAUAGCUAAUUUCAUCCCAGUUUUUUAAACAAUAGCCCAAAACACCCUUCCAUUAAUUUAUCGUUAGUUUACUACUAUUUAUAAUUCAUUGAGGGAAAAAUAAGAUUUUCAAUUAAAGAGAUAAAAACAAUUUCAUCUUUUUCAGGAUAGGAUAAAAUUCCUUUUCACUUAGGCGUCAACUUUUAUUUUUUUAAAUCUUUCUCUUUAAUUGAAAAUCCUAUUUUGCCCUCAAUGAAUUAUAAACAAUAGUAAACUACAGCAAAUUAAUUGAAGGAUGUUUUACACUAUUGUUUUAAAAAAACUAGGAUAAAAUGAACUAUUACAUCAAACUCUGAUGACUUGGAGAAUGACGAGAAAAACAUUUUCCUAGAUGUUGCUUGUUUCUUUAAAGGUGAGGAUAUAUAUCUAGUAAAGAAAUUCUUUGAGGCAAGUGGCUUCUACCCAUAAAUAGGAAUAAGUAUUCUUGUUGAUAAGGCUCUCAUUGCUAUCAAUUCAUACAAAAAGAUAACAAUGCAUGAUUUGCUGCAAGAAUUAGGUAGGGAAAUUGUCCGGCAAGAAUCAACAAAUCCUGGAAACCGUACUCGAUUGUGGCAUCAUGAGGAUAUCUAUGAGGUUCUUGCAUAUAAUAGGGUAAGCAAUUUUUAUUUUUUGGGGGAUUGUUAUUUUUUAAUAUUCUUGCAUUAGUUACAAACUUGAAAGGCAUAUAAUUAAUAUACAUAAGGAAAUAGCUCUUUUCACUCCUCCAGGAUUUGAUGUAAUAACUCAUUUGAUUCCUUUUUUUUUUAAUACAAUAUUGCAAAACACCCUUCGAUUAAUUUACUAUUAGUUUCUUGCCUUUUGAAUAUAAUUCAUUGAGGGCAAAAUAAGAUUGUCAAUUAAAUUGAUGCUUCCAAAAUUUAUUUUGACUUUCUCUUUUUCUCCUUAAAGUUUAUUUAUUUAUUUUGACCCUUGCCACCACUCUUCUUUUACCAUUAUUUUUCCUCCACGUCGGCUCACAGGAUAAUUAAAGAGUGUACUUGUACAAAUAUGAAUAUUGUGUCUAUUUUUGGUACUUAAAUCUAGGGUUAACAACACUUGAGAAAGUACUACCUCAUGGUGCUAAAACAAAGAGUGAGGGCACCAAAAUAGAAUUAAAAGGUAUGUAUACAUAUUAUACAUAUUGACAUGUAAAUUAUGUAUACGAACGAUAAUGUAACAAUUUGACAUGGUAUCUAUAACAUAUUGCUAUAUCACCAUCUAAUCACAAUCGUUAGUUUAUUUUUUUUAAUACAAUGAGAAAAAUACUCUUUUCACCCUUAGAGUUUAAUGUAAUAGCUAAUUUCAUCCCAGUUUUUUAAACAAUAGCCCAAAACACCCUUCCAUUAAUUUAUCGUUAGUUUACUACUAUUUAUAAUUCAUUGAGGGAAAAAUAAGAUUUUCAAUUAAAGAGAUAAAAACAAUUUCAUCUUUUUCAGGAUAGGAUAAAAUUCCUUUUCACUUAGGCGUCAACUUUUAUUUUUUUAAAUCUUUCUCUUUAAUUGAAAAUCCUAUUUUGCCCUCAAUGAAUUAUAAACAAUAGUAAACUACAGCAAAUUAAUUGAAGGAUGUUUUACACUAUUGUUUUAAAAAAACUAGGAUAAAAUGAACUAUUACAUCAAACUCUGAGGGUGAAAAGGGUAUUUUCUCAUUGUAUUAAAAAAAAAAACUAACUAAUGAUUGUGAUGUGGCAAUAUCUUAUAGGGGUCCAGCUAGCUUGCAACCGUGAUUUGGUACCCCAUUUUUUGUCUUUUUGUGAUCCAACCAUUGGAUUCAACCCAAGAGUUGCAAAAGUUAUUCUAACGGCAAGGAUAUAAUUAUUUGGUUAUUAAUGCUGCAGCCCCUCUACAAAAAAAUCCAUUUUUUUAAUAUAAUUUUUUUAAAAUAAAAUACCCAUUUAAUGUUUUACCAUUUAAGAUAGUGUUACUUAUAAGGAUAAAUAAUUAUUUUAAUUAAAUAAAUGAAACUUAACUUUUAUUUAUUUCUAUAAAUUUGUUCAACAUCAAAUAACCUUAUAAUUGUUAGCAUAAGAUAUAAAUUUAGUCUAAAAAAUUUAUUCAAAGGGUCCCCUUAGGGUAAAAAAUUAACUAUCAUAUAAUAUUUUGGUUGGCACAAACAAAAUUUAUUCAAAGGGUCCCCUCAGGGUAAAAAAUUAAUUAUCAUGUGAUAAUUUGGUUGGCACAAACUCUAUUAUUCUUAAUUUACUUAUUCAUGCCAAACACUAUAUUGGAAUUAAAUUUUAGUAAAAUAAACAUAUGUCACCAUCUUUAACCGCAUUCAACAGGCCCUAAUUGUUGAGAGAGCAAGAUAUAGUUCUUUUCUUAUUAUAGUAGUAAAAAUAAAUAAAAAUAAACACAAUAGAUUUCUUUUAAGAGAAUGCAAGCAUUAUUUUUAUGAGAUUUUGUGUUCAAGAAAUUAAUCUAAUUAUGUGGUUAGAAGACUCUCUAUUUUUUUAUAUUUUAGAAGAAUUAUAUGUUGGAUAAAUGAAUAAAUUAAGAUCAAGCAAAACAAAAUGAUUGAGAAGAAAACCGAAAGCGAAUAAUUUUUUAGAAUUUUAAAAUUUUCAUAUUUUAAUUGGGGUUUAUUUUGUAAAAUUAUUGAAAUUUAUAGUUUUUAAUAUUACAGAAAACAGUAGAGAUUGUUGAGGAAAAUGCCAAAUAAAUUUUUUAAAAUUCUAAAAUUAUUAUAUUUUUAUUAGAACUUAUUGUGUAAAUUUUUUAAAAUUUAUAGUUUUUAUUAUUUACCAAAAACAAUGGGGACUGUUAAAGAAAAUGUCAAAUUUGGGUGUUUGGUAUAACGGAGGCAAGGUAGUUCCGUCCUAUCUUAUAGAUACCAUGUCAAAUUCGUUCGUAUGCAUAUAUAAUUUAUGUGUCAAUAUGUAUAAGAUGUAUGCAUGCUUUUUAAAGAUAGUAUUACUUGUACUUGUCCAGAUAUGUUUCUUUGUAAGUUUGCUAUUAUAAGUUUUACUAAAAGCAAUAGCUAUAUAAUUUGAUAUAACUUUAAGGUUUUUUUAUUGGUUACAAUUGAACACAUAAUUUGAAAAUUUUCACAUUGUUCAUCACCUUUGUUUUUCUCUAAACACUUAAUUUCCUCACCUUUCUUUCAUUAUUACUAUUAUUAUUAUUAUUAUUGCAUCAUUACAUAAUCUCUUCACUUUUGGGAUCCUUUAGUUACACUUAAACUUUUCAGAAAUAAAAGUUAAAUGAUAUUGUCAUAAUUGCAUGGCACCCUGUAAUAAGAACCUCUGGGAGCUACUCUUGAUUCAGUGACCAAUCCUUCGGACCCACUAACCAAUCAAACUAGCUUGAUGAGGAGGGUCUAUUUAAAUUAAGUAGCCUCUUUCUUAGUCUUUUUUUUUUUUUUUUUGAAUUUGCCCCAUAGUUCAAUACAAAUCAUAGUAUUAUUUCUAACCGAAAGUGAAAAUCGAUCCACUUAACAGAAAUCAUACAUAGAUUAUUGUUAAUAAUGAUUGUGGCAGUACAUAUCAUAAAUGCCACUUCAACUUGUAUGUAAAAGUUUGUAUCCCAUAUAUCUUUCUUUGUGCAUUCAUAAUUACAAGUUGGACAGCCUAAUAAUACCCAUCAACUGAAUUAUAUAAUAUUUGGUUUUAACUUUGUGGAUUUUUUUUUUAAAUAUUAGGGAACCGAAGCAAUUGAAGGCAUGUGCUUGGAUAUGUCUAAAGUAAAAAGAGAUCUAUCUAAAUUCCGACACUUUCACUAAGAUGCGUAAAUUGAGAUUUUUGAAAUUUUAUAUCUCGACUCAUAAAGGAGAGAAUAAAUGUAAGGUGUCUAAUUUUCGAAGCCCUAUAUUUGCUGAAAUAAGGUAUUUUCAUUUGGCAUGGAUAUCCGUUGAAAUCUUUGCCUUCAAAUAUUGAUCCGGAGAAACUUGUUUUACUUGAAAUGCCUCAUAGCAAUAUUGAACAACUUUGGAGUGGUAACCAGGUAUGUGUAUCUUAAUAUGUAUAUAUAGAUAUUAAAUGUGCAAUGUUUUAGUAACAAUGUUUAAUUAUAUAUCACAAAUGCUAAUAAUUAAUGAUUUUUUGGGGUCCCCCCCAAAGCUUAAUUUAGUUGAAUGGAAAUUAAAUAUUUAAAUGGUAAAGUGUUUGGCUAUUACUUUUUUUUUUUUGGGGUCCCCCCCAAAGCUUAAUUUAGUUGAAUGGAAAUUAAAUAUUUAAAUGGUAAAGUGUUUGGCUAUUACUUUUUUUUUUUUGGGGUCCCCCCCAAAGCUUAAUUUAGUUGAAUGGAAAUUAAAUAUUUAAAUGGUAAAGUGUUUGGCUAUUACUUUUUUUUUUUUGGGGUCCCCCCCAAAGCUUAAUUUAGUUGAAUGGAAAUUAAAUAUUUAAAUGGUAAAGUGUUUGGCUAUUACUUUUUUUUUUUUGGGGUCCCCCCCAAAGCUUAAUUUAGUUGAAUGGAAAUUAAAUAUUUAAAUGGUACCAAAAGGUAUUGAAUAUUGAUGAGGUACCAAAUUUUGAAUUUUUCUCUGCUGUACGGCCAAGGCGGAUGUACGGUACAGCAGUCCUCACUUAUAAACUUGUAUCUAGAUAAAAACAAUUUUGAGAGAAUACCAGAAAGCAUUAUACAACUUUCUACGUUGUUAUAUUUCCGCUUGAGUCAUUGUGAGAGGCUUCAAUCCUUACCAGAGCUUCCUUGCUCUCUGCUUGAGUUGGAUGCACAUCAUUGCACGGCACUGGAAUAAUUAUCAGGUUUAUUCUUAAGGGAUGAACCUUAUCGUCCGUGUAUUGACCUGAGCGAUAAUUAUAAAAUGGAUCAGAAUGUGACCAGAGGAAUUCUCCAAGAUGCUCUACAAAAGUUUAAGCAUAUGGCAACUGAAUGUCGGAAACGAGUAGAGGAAAAGGUGUGUCUUUGGCUUUCUCUAGUCUCUUCUUCUUUUAAUUUAUUUAUAAAAUGUUAAUUUUUUAAAAAUUAAUUAAAAUUAUGAUUUUUGUGGUACAGAUACCUUUUUCAGGAUCUAAGGGUUAUAUCUUAUUACCUGGAAGUGAAAUUCCAGAGUGGUUUAGCUUUAAAAGCGAGGGAUCUUCUAUGACCUUGGAGAUGACACCAGAUUUCUUCAAUAAAAACAGAGUACUCGGCUUUGCUUUUAGCGCUAUUGUAGGAUUUGGAGACCACCAAGAUGUCAGAGAAGCGAGGUUUAAAUUAUUCUGGGAAAUCAAAGUCAAACCCAAAGAUUGUGAUUCGCAUGUCAUACAGAGAUCUCUGGCAAUAAUUAGAUAUGUGGAGUCAGAUCACUUACUUUUGGGGGAUGAUUUCUUUGAUGAUAAGGAUUUUUUUACUUUUUGGGAGAACAAUUGGGUUCC
rnacentral:lncRNA from 1 species